UACGUAGGGUGCGAGCGUUAAUCGGAAUUACUGGGCGUAAAGCGUGCGCAGGCGGUUUUGUAAGCCAGAUGUGAAAUCCCCGGGCUCAACCUGGGAAUGGCAUUUGGGACUGCAAGGCUUGAGUGCGGCAGAGGAGACUGGAAUUCCUGGUGUAGCAGUGAAAUGCGUAGAUAUGCGGAGGAACACCGAUGGCGAAGGCAGUCCCCUGGGCCUGUACUGACGCUCAUGCACGAAAGCGUGGGGAGCGAACAGG
rnacentral:rRNA from 1 species